rnacentral:misc_RNA from 1 species
GCCAUUAAUACAAGGAUUGUAUGCAUUGAUUAGUUUUAGUCUUCUACUCAGUUUCCUAUUUUGAAGAUUAAUUUAUUCGGUGAUAUACUCACUACCGAUAAAUAAAUCCAUACUAAAUAAUAAGUUUAAUUACAGUACGAAAGUGCCAAGCACAAUAUGGAUCGAUCAGUUUGAUAGCGGCCUCUCACCUUGUUUGAUGCAUAUAGCCAACCACCUUAUUAAUCAGG